GAAAUGCGAUAAGUAGUGUGAAUUGCAGAAUUCAGUGAAUCAUCGAAUCUUUGAACGCACAUUGCGCCUCCUGGUAUUCCGGGAGGCAUGCCUGUUCGAGCGUCAUUAAAACCCACUCAGGUCCCUUUUGGGGGAUUCUGGUCGUGGAGGAGCAGCG
rnacentral:rRNA from 1 species